UUUGAUCUGGAAUGAAAUUGGAGGGAAAAAAGCCUCUAGAGAUGAGCUCUCAGGCUGCAGGGCUGAACCAUCUUACCCAAACAUACAGGGGAAUUUUAAGCUCCACCCCUAAAAUAAGAGCUAAUGGAACAGUCCACCCAAGAGCAACAAACCAGGAAAUAAGCAGGGGAGAGAAAAACUAAGUAAGACAUCACAGUCAAUGUGGACCAUAAUAUCAAAUAUUUUAAGUAGCAAAGUUUAACAUCAUUGCAAAGGAACUGGAGCAACUGAACAAAGACUAUCUUCAUUCCAAAGUACUUGAGAAUUCAAGCAGAGAAGUGUGGGAGUAAAAAAUAAUCCCGCUUCCUCUCGUCAUCAGCAUGCCACCACAGAAGUCUCUGAACCUUACUGAUCAAGGUUAGAAAGCUGAGGCUGGUGACCAUUAGAAUUACAGCUUCACAGCAGAAGUCAAUUUUUCACAGUUCCCUUCAAGGCUUUUUGAGAGAGAGGAAAAAAAUAUUUCAAAGCACAGAAGACUCAUCUCAGUAUAGAUUCUAUCCCAAAUGCAAGCCUGAUAUAAAGGCGGCUGCCACUUGGCAUCUGAUGGAGGAAGAGUAAGGUUUGAUAGAAGUAGAUUUUCAGAAGACUCAGUGCAGUGACCCUGUUUUUUCUCUAUUUCAGUCUCUUCUACAGGACGGAGAGGAGGAACCAGGUGUAAAGCCUACCUCAAAACACCUCUGCUUUUGGAAUGCUUCACACUAGUCAGGGGGAGAAUUAUUUAUGAACAACGCACUCCAGUGAAGACUGAGAAGUGGCAGAUCAAAUUGCGCAAACUAUUAAAAGCAAUGAGCAAUGAGCACACCCCUUCCUCUCUCAAGGAAGAAGGGCAGCAGGCAAGAAAGAGUCAUCCCUGAGAGAAGCUGCUGAAAAGCUGUACAGUGUUUUCUGGAUCAUUUCACUUAAAUAAAACUUUAAGCUGGUUAUUUAGUUCCUUAAGUGAGUCUCAAGGAGAGAUUAUUCUGGCAGGUGGUCCACUUUGCCAGCAUGCCUGAUUGGUACAGUAAACCCACUCACUUUUAUUCCUGGAUGAUUUUUCCUUUUCAUCCCAUCAAUGGUAUUGCCGUUUAAUAGAAAAUGUCUACUUCUGUAUAUACAGACCAGAGCUCUGCUAGCUAGAAAUCUCUGGCAAAAGUUGUUCAUCGUGCUUGAGGCUACAUGCACAAGUGGAUCCUGGAUUUCCAUUGUGAAAACUGGAGCCAUUCUGAGAUCAUAGAGACUAUGAGAUUCAACAAGUUUACUUUCUACUAUGUAUCAGAGACUUUAUCUCUUAGAAUGAAACCGAAAAAUGUAGUUCCCAUUUCUCUUUGAACGAAUGCAUUUUUUCAUACUAGCAUUUGAAAGUUUGCACUUCUGUUUGAAAGUGUGUGCACAGGUCCAUUUGAUUUUUCAUGAAUUUCUUUUGAUUUGGUUAUUAUGAGAUUAUCUGAAACAAUAAUUAGAUCUAUUCAACUAUCUUCUGGGAUAGUGUGUUCAGUCCGGGGCACCACAGUUCAAGAAAAAUAUUGACAAGUUGUAUUGUAUACAGAAAACUGUGACCAAGCUGAUAAAAGGUCUGGAAACCAGGUCUAUGAAAAACAGCUUAGGCUAAAUUUACUAUACAAUGUAGUUUGAACUGCAUUAUAUGGUCAAUGUAGACUUAUAUGCAGUUCAAUGCAGUUCAACUGAAUUAUAUGGCUCUACAUAUAAUGGCAGUGUAGAUCCAGCCUUAGGGAGCUGGAUAUGUUUAGUUUGGAUGAGAGCAGAAAGUUGUGAUAUGAUAGCUAUAUUUAAAUAUUUGAAGGGAUGUCACAUAGAAGGUAGUUCAAGCUUCUCCAAAGACUAGAAAAUGAACCACAAGAUUCAAUUAUGAAAGAUUCCACUUGUAUAUUAUGAGGAAUUUCUUUACUUAUUUUUGUAAUUUUUGCAAUUUCAUCUAAUAAUAUAUAUAUAUGCAGUUGGUCCAGUGUUGGGCAUUUUCAAGACUAUUUUAACUGGUAUAUAUAAUUUUAUUUAUGCUGUUCCAUACCAUGAAAUGUAUUAUGAAAUGUAUGGGUGUUCUUGUGUGCAUCUAUUGUUUUUUUUUUGUAUCAGAACUGCAUAUUUUCAAGAAUAACAGAGUUUCAAUUCACAUCUAGGGCUAAAAAUGUGGAAUUAGGUAAAUUUGAGUAAGAUGACGCUAGAACAAAUUUCACCUCUUUGCCCAGUCAGGAUACAAUUCUGCUUUCAAACCACCUUAGAAUCAUUUCCUAUCAGUACAUUCCAAGUAACAAUUUCUGGAAGCCAGUCUGGCUUUGAGAUGAGAAAGAAGUGCAUUUCACCCUUCUCAAAAGAUAAGGCAGAAGUGUGAAGAACAGCCUCUCCUUCAAUUACUGGAACUGACUAUUUUUAGUCCUUCCUUUACUUUCAUUGUUCCUGGAUUUUACCUAUCAUACAGUCCAAGGGGCCAGUGAGAUAGCAUUUAGUGUUGCAAGAUGAGUAAAACAAAGCAAAGAUAUAGAGAAGGGUGAAUAAGCGAAAGUAUCAAAGGAAAAUACCAGCCACUAAGAAGCAAACUGUCCUACAUUAUUUCUAGAGACAAUUGUUGCAGUAAUAACUAUUUCACCCAUGAGUGUGAGAGAGAAAGCAGUCUCUUUUCACCCACAAUCAGCUCUUUACUCUUCUCUGCUAAGCAUUCAGAGGAAAAAACCCAGAGGCCAGUGUUCUUAUUGUAAGAAGAGUUUUCAUAUUUUUCUAACUGAAGCAGGAGUCGCAACUUUAGAAUCUUGCAUUUUGAUCAAAGUGGUGUCUGACGGAAAAAGUCAAAGUACUACUGUUCAAACAACUGCUCUUGGACCCAUCUGUGCCAUUACGGAGUGAUAUGAUAGCAACUUGAUGGCACCGCAUAGCUGCAGAAAAUAUAUUAAGGGAUUACAAAGUUGAAGGAGCACAGGGAGGCAGAAGCAAAUUGUCUGGCAAGAAGAGUGUCAGCUUCAGCUUAGUACGUGGCAAUAGCGGGCCUCCUUCUAUUUGUUAUCUGCUGCUUACACCUGUCACUUGGCCAGCGUGGUGUACCAACCAGUACAAAGUCGUCAUUACCUACCACACAGUGAGGGCUGCUUGUAAAUAUAUCUUUUGAAAUGGCAAAUGUACAGCAGGCCCCGUCUAUUAUUAAAAGUGUAAUGUUGUGGCGAUAAGCAAGGGCAUUGGGAAGGAUGUCUGAGGAAAAUCCUUUGCUGUGGAGGCAGAAUGACUUUCUUUGGGAGCUUCAAGAGGUCCUAGGAAAGGAACCCUUUAAUCCAUACAUGUGUUGGAUACAAUGCCAGAGACAUUCCCCACCCAACAUAUGCUUGUGUAUAAAUAUGUGUGUGUGUGCACAUACACAUAUAAUAAUGAAAACAGAAAAAUUGACGCAAAAGCCUGCUGACAUGGAAGGAACAGGAAUGCAGAGGCAAAGAACAUAUUCUGAAUUUGCUUUCCUUCAGUUGUAACAUUCUGCACCCUCCAAGACAUAUCACAAGUUGAAAAGUGAGGUAACAAAAUGGUACUUUGAUUCACAUCAGUCCUUGUCCAUAAUUUUGCAUGCUUCCAUAGAUUAUUUGAUUGCAACAUUUUGCCACAGAAUAUUUAGUUUGUAUUUCUUCGGCCUUUUCUCUUCCUCAGUUUCCUAUAGUGGUGGGGAAAAAAAAUCCAACACAUGUUAGGAAACAAAUGUGAAGUUUGUUUCUAAAAAGGUGCCAAAUCUAAAAAAAAAGAAAAAGAAAAGAAAAAUGAGUUACAGCACAUUUUUCGCCAGGAAUAGAAUAAUAUGUAAGCAUCAAAACUAUCAGAAUGCAUCAAAUCACUUUGGUACAGUGCUUGGGACAUUGCAUUUUAAUACAAAAGAAUCCAUAUACUCAGCACAUUUUUUAUUUUUUAAAAAAACUGUUCAGAUGGAUUUAGUACCUUUUGGAAACAAAUGGGAUAGGGACCGCUGUUGCCCUACAAAGCCUGUAGAGUUAAGAGGGCUGUAAAGAAUACCAUACUAACAAAAAGUGAGAUAUUCAGAAAAGCAGCAACCAUUUGAUUACACAUUGUUAGUUUAAAAUAAUAAUGAUGAUAAUAAUAAUAAUAACAAGAAAAUACCUACACAAACAGGUAGUUGAUUCAUCCUUCCCAGAAUAUAAUGGUUUUUCCAUCCAGAAUUUUUUCCAAUGCAGUGCAGCUACUCUGGGAAGCAAAGGCCACCAGUUUCAGAUAAUGUUACUACUGUAUAUCAUUUUAACCACUAUUAAAGAGAUUUUGGAAGAUACCAGAUUUAUCAACAUUCGUUAAAAACUUGACUCCCAUUCAAUAAAAUUAGUUUUGAGGUGUAUUCCCCAAUUUGUUUAAUUUCUAGCCCAUGUGAAGAAUUUUGUAAGAUUAAAAGAGAUCCCGAAAACCACCUACAAAAGCAUCUCCAAAAACCACUAAGAAAUUGUUUGAAUUGUGUGUUUGUGACAGAGAGGUUCAUACACUACCUGUGAUAUCCAUAAAGUACUGGUAUCAUAAACAUAUACAGCUUGCCACUUAAUUGUAUUGCCUCUCACAUGGACAAUCGAAUCUAGCAUCUGCUUGGUGUUAUUUAAAGGUACUGUACAUGUUAUGAAAUUGAUAGAGCAUGCUACUGAGACAGUGUAAGUGGUUUAUGGCUGUAUCACAGGGAUAAUUCAUUCCAUGACACCAUAACAGUUAAUUUGAAUUUACAGCUGAUUGUUAUUUACCACAAAUGAAAUGGAAGGGUUUACAAAUAAAAUCAAGUUGUAAAACCUUCAGCACAAUAUAGAAUUAUAAACACCAUGCAUUUCAAAUUCCCCUUUGUUUAAUACCAACAGCCAAUAAACAGCUAUUGUCAACAAUAAAUGCAGUAUUGCAAUCUAAGUAAAUGUCAUUUCCAUGGAAAUGUAAGAGCUUAUGCAUUAAGGUUCAUCUUACCUUCCAGUGGAACAAGUCAUUUGCAAACAUAUGUUGGGUUUAAUUCAUGGAAUUCACAUCACUGUGAUAGCAGGCAUUGUAAAGAAAAAACAAACAAAUAUGUCUUUGGGGCGGGGUGAAGUUGAUGUUUGCCUCCUUUGAAUUUUGGAUCUAUUUUGCAAUAUAUUUGUCUGUCCAUCAGUUGUCAAAAAGGAAAAGGUCAAACAUCCUUUUAUGUAUUGGUAAGAGAAUGAGAAGCUACUCCAACCUUGGCAGUUAUAUUUCAGUUAAGAAAAUUUUAACCAGGAGAUCAUAUAAAUACUUUUAAUCUGUUAUUCUUUAAAAGUGUAUAUAAGUAUUUUUUCAGGCAGUACUAGGCCUCUUCAGAUAUAAACAUAAGUGCAAAUUGUAUACAUCUCAUAUUCAACAAAUACAUGGGCUUUUUGCUUUGCUUUAUGCAUAUGAAAUACCAGAAAGCUGAUUCUUCCAUGAGACAGAUGAUUUUGGAGCUUCACAAAAAGACAUUCAGGUGUUUAGACUGAGAGGCAUUUAGAACGUAAUCCUGUGACCAAUAGGAUAUCUACCCAAAUACUGCAAGAAGAGACUGCUCAGGGUCCAAGCUGGAGCUCUAACAUCGAAGGUGUUGCUAAUACUGUUCUUAUUAUUGUCUUUAUUUGUACCCUGACCCCCCGCCACACAAAAAAACUUGAGACUUAAGACAUCUCUAAGCUUCCAAUUUCCAACCUUUGCGUCCUCUCUCUUUCCCCUUACAGAAGAAUCAACAUUGCUAAACCCUCUACCAUUGGAAGUCUGAUGUCAGAAAGGGGAAAAAAGAUGAGAUGGAGAGAGAGGUGUAGUGGCUCCAAACAGUUUUAUAGACUAAGGGUAAAUUUACAAACUCUGAAAUAAAUAGUUUAAAAAAAGGGGGGGGUGGAUGGAGCUCCUCUUUCUCGUCCCUUUUGGUAGGACAGUCAAGGUGGGCUUUCAGAUGAUCCACCAUCUCAGUAGUCUAUCUUGAAGAUUCAAUUAUACAAGUGUGUCAAACCAAGAAUGGGUGGUUCAUGAUAAACAAGCAAGCACACAUUUUACAUAACUGCGCCAGUACCAGACUUAUUCACAUUUUAAAAACCCCUUUACCUAAAAAAGCAUCUUAUUCAUUUCAAAGAUUCACCCUUUGCUUUUUCUGAGUUCAAAAUUGAUUAUUGUCUGGACCUCAGAAAUCUUGAUGCUGCUAAACAGAUCAACAACAACAACAACUACAAACUUUUCUGAAAAGACGGUAUAAUGUUCCUUUCAUAAAAAGGAAGAAGUUCACAAUGCAUGACUGUCGUCUACCUAUUUCUUUAACGUAUUUUAUCACUGAAAAGCUGUACAAAUUCCAUGUGGCAGAACUGCUGUUUCUAUGGUUACCUUGAUUGUUUUUAAUGGUGAAGAAAAGAAAGAUAUAAAACAUGACUAGAUUGACAGCUGCCCUAGAGUUGUGCUUAUAUAGAACUUAUCAAAAUGCAUUUUGUGUAUUACUACAAUGGAUUAAACUAAAAACUUAAGAAUC